UGGACGUCCAUGAACACCUGGUAUCCCAGUGUCACCCUUCGGACCUUGUACUCCCUGCAAAUCAGUGAAAUGUGAAUGGAUACAACUCUCACAUUAUACAAACACACAAAUCCCUGAGCUUCAAAAAUCCCUGAGAAGUUGUAGGCACCAUCUGUAUCGUUGAGAAGGAGCUUAAAAAAAAAAAAAAAAAAAAGAGGGGGAGACAGAUGGAGAGAUUUGACAAACUUCAUCACUCUGGAAAGUUUCUCAAAAAGGAAACAACCAUGUUCCAAUUCUGUUGGAGUGAACCUGGCAGGGUCCAGGUCUGAUGCCGCUUACCUUCUGGAGGUUGAUGACAGGUCCCGGUGGACCAGGCGGUCCGGGAAGACCAACUGCGUCCCGUCCCUUCUCGCCCUGAAAGACACAAUUAACACUCAGAGUCAGAAGUGCAUGUGUAUUUCUUAGUCUGACCACUUCAUAUAAUGCCCUACUCGGAGGUGUUACCUGUUUUCCUGGUUCACCUUUGUCCCCUUUUGGUCCCUGCAGAUAAGAAAAUAUAAAGAUUUGAAGUUAA